GUUAGGAAUAUUGGACAAUGGGCGAAAGCCUGAUCCAGCCAUGCCGCGUGAACGAUGAAGGCCUUCGGGUUGUAAAGUUCUUUAGCCGAUGAUUAUAAUGACUGUAGUCGGAAAAUAAGCCCCGGCUAACUUCGUGCCAGCAGCCGCGGUAAUACGAAGGGGGCGAGCGUUAUUCGGAAUCACUGGGCGUAAAGCGUGCGUAGGCGGUUUUGUAAGUUAGGAGUGAAAGCCCAGGGCUCAACCUUGGAAUUGCUCUUAAAACUGCAAGGCUCGAAUCUCGGAGAGGAUAGCGGAAUUUCCAGUGUAGCAGUGAAAUGCGUAGAUAUUGGAAUGAACACCAGUGGCGUAAGCGGCUAUCUGGACGAGUAUUGACGCUGAGGCACGAAAGCGUGGGGAUCAAACAGGAUUAGAUACCCUAGUAGUCC
rnacentral:rRNA from 1 species